rnacentral:tRNA from 1 species
GGGAGGGUAGCUCAGUGGUAGAGUUUGUGCUUAGCAUGCAUGAGGUCCUGGGUUCAAUCUCCAGUUCCUCCA